rnacentral:rRNA from 1 species
CAUGUCCUUUUGAAAAUUAUUUAAGGUCUAAUCUGCUCAAUGAGGAAUUAAAUUGCCGCGGUAUCUUGACCGUGCGAAGGUAGCAUAAUAAUUAGUUUUUUUAUUGAAAGCUGGAAUGAAUGAUUGGACGAGAAAACAGCUGUCUCUGUUUAAAUUUUUUUUGAAUUUAACUUUUGAGUAAAAAGGCUCAAAUUUAUCUUAAAGACGAGAAGACCCUAUAGAGUUUAACAUUUUAGCGUUAAAGAGUUUUUGGUAUUAGUUAUUUUUAUUGUGAAAGGUGUUUGGUUGGGGUGGCUAGAAGAUUUGAUAAACUCUUCUAAAUUUUUGUUACUGAUUAGUAAUUUUAAAAUCUGGAUUUUCCAAGUUUAAUAUAAAUUACCUUAGGGAUAACAGCGUUAUUUCUCUUUAAAGUUCUUAUUGGAAGGGAAGUUUGCGACCUCGAUGUUGGAUUAAAGUUAAUGCUGGGUGCAGUAGCUCAGUUAUUAGGUCUGUUCGACCUUUAAAACUUUACAUGAUCUGAGU